CCUACGGGAGGCAGCAGUGAGGAAUAUUGGUCAAUGGGCGCGAGCCUGAACCAGCCAAGCCGCGUGAGGGAAGACGGCGCCAUGCAUCGUAAACUUCUUUUGUCGGGGAACAAAAGACGCCACGCGUGGCGUUGUGAGUGUACCCGAAGAAAAAGCAUCGGCUAACUCCGUGCCAGCAGCCGCGGUAAUACGUAGGGGGCAAGCGUUAUCCGGAUUUAUUGGGUGUAAAGGGCGGGUAGGCGGGAGCGCAAGUCAGAGGUGAAAAAUCAGGGGUCAACCCUUAGCCUGCAUUUGAAACUGGGUUUCUUGAGUGAGGGAGAGGUAAGCGGAAUGCGUGGUGUAGCGGUGAAAUGCGUAGAUAUAAGGAGGAACACCAGUGGCGAAGGCGGAAUGCCGG
rnacentral:rRNA from 1 species